rnacentral:piRNA from 1 species
GCGCAAGGACCAAAAGGCUCAGG